CAGUCGCCGCGGUAAUACGAAGGGGGCUAGCGUUGUUCGGAUUUACUGGGCGUAAAGCGCACGUAGGCGGAAAUUUAAGUCAGGGGUGAAAUCCCGAGGCUCAACCUCGGAACUGCCUUUGAUACUGGGUUUCUUGAGUCCGGAAGAGGUGAGUGGAACUGCGAGUGUAGAGGUGAAAUUCGUAGAUAUUCGCAAGAACACCAGUGGCGAAGGCGGCUCACUGGUCCGGAACUGACGCUGAGGUGCGAAAGCGUGGGGAGCAAACAGGAUUAGAGACCCCAGUAGUCCCUGUCUCUUAUAC
rnacentral:rRNA from 1 species